CCUACGGGUGGCAGCAGUGGGGAAUAUUGCACAAUGGGGGAAACCCUGAUGCAGCGACGCCGCGUGAGUGAAGAAGUAUUUCGGUACGUAAAGCUCUAUCAGCAGGGAAGAAAAUGACGGUACCUGACUAAGAAGCCCCGGCUAACUACGUGCCAGCAGCCGCGGUAAUACGUAGGGGGCAAGCAGUAUCCGGGUUUACUGGGUGGAAAGGGAGCGUAGACGGCAGCGCAAGUCUGGAGUGAAAUCGCAUGGCUUAACCAUGGAACUGCUUUGGAAACUGUGCAGCGGGAGGGAAGGAGAGGUAAGCGGAAGUCCUAGUGUCGCGGUGAAAUGCGUAGAUAUUAGGAGGACCACCAGUGGCGAAGGCGGCUUACUGGACUGUAACUGACGUUGAGGCUCGAAAGCGUGGGGAGCAAACAGGAUUAGAGACCCGUGUAGUC
rnacentral:rRNA from 1 species